rnacentral:lncRNA from 1 species
AAAGAAAUAGUCCUAAUAAAUUAACAAGCUCAUGUAUCAUCAUUUUGAAGUGUUGAGGGAAGGUUAUUGGAUCUCCAAACCAGCCCAAACGAAAGAGCAAUUUGGACUGUUUUUUAUCAGGGAGACGCCAGUUAUGGGCUUGUUCCUAAGCCCAACAGGACACGAGUCCAUGUCAUUUAAAUUCCAGACCAACCUUUCAGGCAGCAUAUGUGUAAUAAUUCGAACUGCAACACCUAAAGCAAAUUGGUAAACGAUAUUAAAUGACCAGACUGACCACAUUAGCCGAGACUUUAUUUUAAAACAGUUGCAAUAAUUAAUCUAACUAUAUUCUCUAAAACAAAGAGGCCACGGCAAUUCAUGAUCCAAAUAUAAACUAACAUAGGGAGUUUGAGCCAUUCAAUUAAGCCAUAUUCAAAUUAUCUUUCGCAGUUUCAAUUCAGUUACGACGCAGCCAGAUUGUACAACGAUACAACUGAUAGUUUUAAUUCUGAUUUCAAUCUAAUUCAUGAUAACGUAAACGUCCAACUCCAAUCGGUCUAACAAUCCCUAACAUUCAGUAAUUAGGAUCUGAAAAGUUAACUACAACAUGAAACUAGCACUGUUAACUGACGCAGUCAAGGCAUUUACAUUAUCCAGGCCUGCUUAAACUCAAAAUACUCUAUAGCCUACUUGAAAACAACUACACCUAUUUUACAAAUGAAACUCAAUUGAAGCUAUAGUGACAGUCCAUUAAGUUCAAAUUAAUACAUUCACAAAAUUGUUUAAAUAGUUCAACUAAAUUAAAAUUCUAAGCUAGAAAACAAAUAAAUAGUUCUUCAUCAUUCAACUUCAAGCGUAUUCAUACAUGCUGAUUCAUUCUCCAAUAUCUCUUGAGUCUAAUGACAUACCUGGAAGUUGAAAUACAAGUAAGAAGAAGAAGAGAUUGGCCAAAGACUGAGCAAAUAGCAGUGUCAACAACAGGUCACAGCAACAGGAAGACAAUUUGAAAUCCAGAAUGAUAUCACUAAACACAGGAACAAUAGCAGAUGAAUAGUAUCAAUAAGAACACCCAGAAUUGCCUUGACUGAACCAAAACACACUCAAAACUGACAUAGGAGGCUUCUGAACACUUCAGCAAUCAAAACUUAAGUUAGAUGAUGCAAAUCAACUACUAAAACUAGAAAUUAGCUAAAACUUUUGAUAUAAUAGUAUGUUUUUUUUGAUGUUUUGCUAUAUUUGGUUGUUUUUUUUUUGGCAGGAUCUAAAAGAGGAUUUUGAACUUCUUUAUUUGAAACUCAAAUUCUAUGCUCAGAUUUACAGACAUGGUUUUUGGGGGAAAUUUUAGGGCUCCAAACUUUUUAUCAAAGCACUAGUCAUGCCUUUUUAUAGGCAAAAUCAGGGCAGCCCAAAAAUUUUGAGUUUUACACUCUUAGUCCUUAUUUAUUAUUCAAUUUUAACCAAAUGGUUCCCUAUUUACUAACUUGUCUCACAAGCUUAACCACUCAAAAGCUUGAAAUUGCCGGAAAUCCCUGCUAGAAGCUUCUUUUUUCGGUUGUGAAAAGAUUCUCCAGCUUGAACUAUCCAAAACACCCUUAUAGCUAUUAUUAUUUACCCUACAGCCCCAGACAAAUUGUUCAAGCUGAUUGAGUCAUAGCCCGGAAUUGAAUCCCUUAAAUGGGCCUUUUAUAUCUCUUGGGUCAGAACUGAACCCUUCCCCACAGCCCCAAAUGAAAUAAACCCAUCUACACAUGACAAAACAGGAGAAUGAAUCUUAUUAACCCAAAACCAAAAUCCUAACCAAAUUACUAGUUAAUAGGAAACUAACCAUUGAACUGGGAACUCACUAAAGUAUUAAUUCAACACAAUUCAUUAGGCUAUCUAGAAAACAUACAGAAUCACACACUUAGAAAAAAAAAAUCAAAUAACAACAUUUACCAAAGCAACACUGAAAGUCACAAAAGAAAUAUAAAUGCAAAGCUAAACCUAAAGGGAAACCCUAGGAAAUAUUAUUGGCCACCUAACACAAACAUGCAGGAAACUAAUUCAAACGUUAAAGCGACGAAAUUAGACUAAGUGAUCAAACAAAAAGUGAAACAAGUUUAAUCCAAAAGAAGUUCAGAGAAAGGAAAAGGAGACAGAGCUAAGGAGGAAUAAUGAAAAAACCAAAUAUGAACAAACAGAUAAAGAAAACAUACUAGUCUAAGAGUUUGACUCCAAAAACUCCAAAGAAGCGGAACAAAAUCCUAGCACACUCGAGUUUAGUCGUUUCAGAUUCAAAAUGUGAGGAAUUAAAAUGGCGUUACAGGGAUAAGGGCAGCGGGAUCAAGAUGAGGAAAGGACGACGACCCUAGAGUGUUAAUUUUGGGCUGAUUGGAUGAAUUAGGGUUUUAACUAUCCCGGGCAGAGAAUGAUUCGACGAGUUUCGAAAGGAUUUGGGGUAAGGGGUUUCAAAAUUUUGGAUGUAGGGGUGGAGGAGAUAUCAUGGUGUAAAUUUGGGGCUGAAUUGUGGUGUCGCCGCCACCAGAGCCGGUGGGGAAUUGGGACGGCUAAACUAGGGUUCCUCUAUGUGUUCUCUGUACUAGCAAUAAAGAGAUACGUGAGAU